GCACGCCAUAGCACUAGCUGCAGCAUUGGUCCUGGCCUGCUCUAUCUGAGCAAAUCUAAGUAGGUUACUUGAUUGAUUAGUUCGUUAGUGUGUGAUGUGCGUGUGAUAAAUCAAAGGACCAUAGAUUUAGUAUCAGAGUGUUUGGUUUGAUGUAUCGGAGUGAAUUGCAAAAAAAAGCACCACAUUUGAAGUUCAUUUUGGAAAUUGCCACCACAUUUCUUGCACGGCAAAAGCUAUCACUUUUCUUACUCCGAGUGGAGAGCUGGCUCGAUAGACGAAGAUUCGCGCGCGACGCAGCCGCACCCAACGGCGGAAUGGUCAUUGGAGCAGGGGGUAGCAGCGGCCCGCAAGAUUCAGCCAACUCCCCUGGGGGCCGGGCCAUGAGUGGGCUUCAUCUCUCGGCGGCGUGGAGCCAGG
rnacentral:lncRNA from 1 species